rfam:Jatropha curcas cultivar GZQX0401 scaffold424_84, whole genome shotgun sequence.
AGACCAUGAUGAGGACAUUGCCUUUGUGAUUCCUUGAAUCUUUCCCAAGUAGUAUAAAGUGUCUCAUACUUCCUUUGUUUGAAGGUAGAAAUUUCAUUGCAUAGUUU